CCUUAACGAUAUUAUCUGAUUGGCAAGAAUUCACAACAAGUUGUUCUUUAGUAAGAUGUUUAAAACGGGUCUAUAGCUCAGUUGGUUAGAGCACCGUGUUGAUAACGCGGGGGUCAUAAGUUCAAGUCUUAUUAGACCCACCAUUAACAAAUGGGGUUAUAGCUCAGUUGGUAGAGCGCCUGCCUUGCACGCAGGAGGUCAGGAGUUCGACUCUCCUUAACUCCACCAUUAUUAAACAUCAAAAGCAUACAUAAGCAAUUUAAAUAAGAUUUCUUAUUUAUGCUUUAACUUUAUAAACUGACGAAGUUUAUAUCACUAUUUAACAACGUAACUAUGAGUCUGGGUUAAUUAUUUAUUUCCAACAAAAUAAUUAACCAAAGUAAAGAGAACUGAAUCAAGCGUAAACAUAGGUAAAUCGUUACACAUUACCCUUAUGACACCAAGACUACUUGGGGUUGUAUGGUCAAGUAAUGAAGUGCACAUGGUG
rnacentral:tRNA from 1 species